rnacentral:lncRNA from 1 species
GGAGGGAGGAGCGAGGGCGGGAGGGGGAGGAGGGAGCCGAGCAGGGAGGGAGGUGGGAGGGGUGGGGAGGGAGAAAAAGAAAGAAAAUAUUUUCCGUGUCCCCGCCUGCAGAGUCAGUGUGCGGUUUGGGAGAAAAUGUGUCGGAUAUUUUGGGGCGGUCACGUGGGCGGGCGGGCUCCGAGAGGCCCCGGGACAGUCCCAGCCUAGAGCCGUGCCCCCCAGAGCCCCCCAUUACCGCGAGCCCCUGACACUGCGACGCUCCAUCCCCGCGACCAUCCGACGCCGGGACCUUGGGGCUCGGCGGGCUCCCUUCCCCCUCCCUCCCCCUCCAGGACUCUUGGAGACCCAGUGGGCAGGCCGGGCAGGGUGGGCACGGAGCCCCCCAGGCCAGGGCAGUGGGCAUGGGCGGGGGCUGAAGACCUCCCCUGCCCACUGCAGAUCCCAGGGGACUCAGCCUCCCACACCGCAGCUGCCAUGGCCACCAAUAAGGAGCGACUCUUUGUACCUGGCGCCCUGGGGCCCGGAUCUGGCUACCCAGGGGCAGGCUUCCCCUUUGCCUUUCCAGGGGCACUCAGGGGGUCUCCGCCUUUCGAGAUGCUGAGCCCUAGUUUCCGGGGCCUGGGCCAGCCUGACCUCCCCAAGGAGAUGGCCUCUCUGUGUGAGUCUCAGGGAUCUUGGGGGUGAGGGCAUGUGGAAACAGGACGGGCAUUUGGAGGGUGGAUGAGUGGAGGAUAUGGAAAAUUAUGAUGGGAGGCAGGGGACGGUUGGCUCUGAUAGAGGAGAUGGAAGUGGUGGCAAGGAAGGGGUCUGGAUGUGGGACAAAUGGAAAUGUUUUCAAAUGAAAGGACUCCUACUCAAAUAGGAGAGGCAAGUAGCAUGCCUAAAAUUGAGGAGUGAAAAAGUCUACCUCGUUGAAGGCUGAGCUUUCCUCCUGAGUCAGUCAACCAGCAAAGAGCACCAGAUCAGGCCUGGGGAAGGCUGGGGCUGAGGCCUGCUUGCAGAGGAGGGGGCAGGUGGGUGGGUGGGAGAGAGCUGGGCUAGGAAAUAGAGGUGUUUCAGAGACCAGUCAGUUGGCUCUGUGAUUCAGAGGUAAAACAGUCUUGAAUUUGAGAGAGGCUGCACGAAGCGAGCAAAGAUAAUCUAGUGCUAGGUGGCCAACGAUGUUGUGGGGUCAGGGGGACUCUCCUGCUUGGUUUUGGGGGAUGGCAACAGUCAUAAAGGUGACUCGUGCACCAUAAGUAAUCCAGGGAGGCAGAAGUGGUGUUCCAGAAGCAUCCUCUCCUCUAGCCAGGUGGGUUCUGGACUCCUCCCCUGCCUCCAGGUCUGGCCCAUGGCCCACAGGCUGUGCAGAUCCCUACUUGUCCCUCA